AUUUCUUGUGUGCUCACCGUGCUUGCUUUGCUUAUUCUCUAAGCUCUGGCCAAAUAUACCAUUCUAAGUCCUUUAUGCCCUGCUAGUGAUACCAGGAAUGGCUCAAAUGGGUUUGAAAUCAUAUUCAAAUGUAUCUAAUGUAGCCAACCCUUAAUCGAUAGCGUUUUAUACUAAUAAUACGUCCAAUGAAUUGUCCUUCUACUAAUAAUAUUAACAACAGGGGGUUGUUAAAAUACAUAAUAUUACAUAACACCACAAAUGACCUGUCUUUUUUUUGGGGUUGUGAUUCAUGUUGGUCCUUUGCUCCUUACCUCCAGGCGUGUGACGGACCCUGUCGCUUUCCUUCAGUGCGUCGGUCUCCCCGCCAACGACACAGGCAAGGAGCACGUGCAGCGGCUGAAAGCCAUCAUGGAGGCCACCCUUGACCUGUACACCUUCAUGGUACGUCCAGGCCUCCACCGGGGUGCCCUUCCUGGAGCUGCAGGGGGUGCUGGAGCUCAACCCCUGGAGGUUGGUGGAGGUCUACCAAGACGAGGAGCUGGUGCACAUGUGGCUGGCGGUCAAGAUCCGUCCCGCUGCUCCGCUCCGUCUCCAAGCCACUCCUCGCCUGCCUGAGCACCAAGAACUUCAGCUGCACCACCUACCAGGCUGUCGUCCAAGAGUUCAGCCAGCACUUCUCUGACAUGAACCCAGCCAGACAGAAGUGGAUCUAUACGUUCUUCAUGUACCCCUUCCUGUCCGGAGAAGGAAUAGCCGGUAUACAACCAUGACAUUACUUAUGCUCUACUGCUACUGCUGCUCUACUGCUACA
rnacentral:lncRNA from 1 species